GUUCGGGGAAGGUCAGGGAGGUGGGGAGCUCUGUCUUGGGAUGGACGAGGCAACAGGGCCAAAAGUGUUGACUGCAGUCCCGGGGUCCCUUGGGGAACCCUGGUCUGGGCUGCCACUGUGCAGGGCUUCAGUCUGUGCUUACUAACUAGUCCAAGAGGACUCUCAUAACAGACAGGGUGUUGGGCAAGGGAGUUUUCUGAAUGAUGAAAACAAAAGUCUGGAAGUGCUGGGUUACCUGUCCUCCCAAGCUCCCCUCUGGCUCCCUCAAACAGCUACCUUGAUUUCUUCUCAGUGGAUAGUGGCCUGACAGUGGUUUAUGUAGGUCUGGGACGUAGGGUCUUCUGUGGAGGAGUUUGGUAUGUUUCCCAGUGGAGCCUCUUUCUACCUUCUUCAGAGUUAGAGUUAUGCCAAAAGAUGAUUUAUCACUCUCUGCGCUGACCUGGCAAAUAGCAGGAUUUUUCCUCAUUAUAUUUACAGGCCUCUAGGAAUGGGAAGCGCCAACCCCCUGGUCUCCUGUUACAAAUCUCAGAACAGUCAAGGACUAGGAGUUCUUCGUACAUGAUUAGUGUUUAGAGCUGCAAGAGAAUGUAGAGAUCAUUUCUUAGCUCAGAAGUGAGAUUUUUCACACCCAUGGCCUUGCUCCUUCCCCUGCAUGCAUUUGAAGAUUAUGAGUCCAUGAACUCAGGCAGGCCUGUCUGCAGGGCUAGGAGAGUCUAAUUUUACUUCUUGGAAGGUACAGAAAUACCUGGCACAGAGUGUGGGCAGGUGUAUUUACCCAGUACUUUGUCAUGGAGCUUUGUCAUGCACAAAGUAAUUUUUUGUAUUUCUUUUCAAGCUCUAAAGAAAAUAAUAAUAGCUAACAUUUAUUGGGUACUUGUUAUGGACCAGGAAACCCUGGUGAUGUGGUGGUUAAGUGCUACGGCUGCUAACCAAAAGGUCAGCAGUUCGAAUCCACCAGGUGUUCCUUGAAAACCCUAUGGGGCGUUCUGUUCUGUCCUAUAGGGUCGCUAAUGAGUCAGAAUUGACUCAACAGCAAUGGGUUUGGUUUUUGGUGUUAUGAACCAAGCACUUUAUAUAUACUGAAGUAUCUCAUUUAAUCCUUACAAAAUACCCUAUGAGGAAGGCACUGUUCAUUGUAUAGAUAAAGACACUGAGUCUUAGUAAUUACCUAACACUGGUAAGUGGUAGAGCCAGGAUUGGGCUCAGGCAGCUGACUCCAAGUCUGUGUGCUAACCAUUAAGUUACGUGGCCACCCAAGUGAUGCUGCUUGACCUAAGCUAGGGAUCCUAGUCCAAGUCCCUUCUCCAGUCUGUUCUGCACUAAGAGGACUUGGUGAGCACCUGCACCUCCUUGGAGUUUGGAGAACAAUAGCCCUUUGGUAUUGAGGUUCGUUAACUGAUAACCUGGACAUUGUUUCUAGAUUGCAUAAUUUCAGUUCUUUCUCAAAUCUUCCUUUAUUUUCUUUAAUUUAAUUUUAUUUAUUUUUUAAAAUUAAUUUUUAUUAAGCUUCAAGUGAACAUUUACCAUUCCAAUCAGUCUGUCACAUGUAAGUUUACAUACAUCUUACUCCCUUUUCCCACUUGCUCUCCCCCUAUUGAGUCAGCCCUUUCAGUCUCUCGUUUCGUGCCAAUUUUGCCAUCUUCCCUCUCUCUCUAUCUUCCCAUCCCCACUCCAGUCAAGAGUUGCCAACACACUCUCCAGUGUCCACCUGAUUUAAUUAGCUCACUCUUCAUCAGCAUGUCUCUCCCCCCUGCUGACCAGUCCUUUUCAUGCCUGAUGAGUUGUCUUCGGGGAUGGUUCCUGUCCUGUGCCAUCAGAAGUUCUGGGGAGCGUUGUCUCUGGGAUUCCUCUAGUCGCAGUCAUACCAUUAGGACAGACAUCGAUUGUGGCCGGGCACCAACUAGUUCUUCUGGUCUCAGGAUAAUGUAGGUCUCUGGUUCAUGUGGCCCUUUCUGUCUCUUGGGUUCUUAGUUGUCGUGUGACCUUGGUGUUCUUCCUUUGCCUUUGCUCCAGGUGGGUCUUUAAUUUUAUUUCUAAGUGCUAUUUUCUAACAUUACACCAUUUUCCUGCACCCUUUCCAGCCCCUCUGCCCUCUAACUCCUCAGAUAUCUCAGUUGUAGGACCAGAAUGUUUAAGCAUUUGCCCUGAGUUUCCUUCUGGAUCAGAUGAGGGGGUUGGACCCAAUGAUCUCUGAAGCCUGAGGUCCCACCCAGCUCUGGGGAAGUGAGAGAGCCCUGGUCCCAUGCUCUGUGUAGAAGCGGGUGGAGGGGAUACUUGCUGAAUGCAUUCUUUUCUUUUUAUGUAUAUAUAUUUUGUAUGUGUGGUAAAUAUAUAGGUAACAAAACAUUUGCCAUUUCAACGGUCUUCACGUGUACAGUUUAGAGACAGUAAAUGUGUUCAUCCUGUUGUUCAACCGUCACUAAUUCCCAGGUUUUUCCAUCACCCUUAACAGAAGCUCUAAGUGAAAGCAUUCUUAAGCGUUUGCGGUCGCAUUGGAUUGUUGGGGCUUGGAGCCUGGGCAAGAGGCAGAAAGUGUGUUUGCAGCCCUGAACUGUGUUGACUGCAAAAAUAGUCCAGUCCCAACUUCAGGUUCAGGGCUGAAAAAACUGGAUUCUUCAAGGCCAAGCUCCCCUCCCCUUGGCCUGCCCCUCCUAGCCCCCUGUUCAUCAGUUGGCCAGGCAGUGAACAACUUUCCCAAGGAUAUCUUUAUUUAGGGUUGUUCACAGCUCUAUCAUCCCUUCAUCUUCUAAGCAAGCAGCAGACUCUUAAAAUGAUUUUUUUUAUUUUAUUUUUUAUGGUGGUAAAAUAUAAAAAAAAAAAAACAAACCCAUUGCCUUUGAGUCAAUUCUGACUCAAAGUGA